UGCAAGUCGAAGCGAGAAACUCAUGACCAAUACUUCGGUAGCGUGAUGAGCGGAAAGCGGCGGACGGGUGAGUAACGCGUAGGCAACCUGCCCUUGCAGAGGGAUAGCCUCGGGAAACCGGGAUUAAAAACCUCAUAAUGCGUAACGGAGACAUCUCCGAUACGCCAAAGAUUUAUCGGCAAGGGAUGGGCCUGCGUCUGAUUAGUUAGUUGUGGGGUAACGGCCUACCAAGGCAGCGAUCAGUAGCCGACCUGAGAGGGUGAUCGGCCACAUUGGAACUGAGACACGGUCCAAACUCCUACGGGAGGCAGCAGUGGGAAUAUUGCACAAUGGGCGAAAGCCUGAAUGCAGCAACGCCGCGUGAAGGAUGAAGGCCCUUGGGUCGUAAACUUCUGUUCUAAGGGAAGAUAAUGACGGUACCUUAGGAGCAAGUCCCGGCUAACUACGUGCCAGCAGCCGC
rnacentral:rRNA from 1 species